AGAGUCACUGCUUCCCAGGAUAGAGUCCUCCAUCUUUGAAUGCCUAGAAGAGUACAUCUGGUCAUUUAAAAGGCCUCAGAAACACAUAUGUUUUAAAGUUUCCUUAGGUGGAGCUUGGUCCAAUCAUUGAUUUUCUUUGAGUAAGGUGACAACUGGGAAUUCUGGUUAAAGGUUCAAGAUGGCAGAUUGCAGCUGCAUAAUGUGGGGAAUAUUUUGGCUCAUCGUCCUGGUGUUUUUUGGCUGGCCCUUAAGCAUUGCCUUGGGUGGCCUCUAUGGAUUCCUCUCCCCUCUCACUACCUUAAUAGGACUGGAUGACUUCAGUGAAGCACUGCUGAGGGGAGUAAAUUUGGGGAGACAGUGUGCUAAGAAUGUACAAAAUGGCAAGCCCCUUUGCUGAGCAAUAAAGACAGAAUUACAACUGACAAGGAUUUUAUUGUGUACUGCACUGGAUUUCAGAGUUAUUCUAUUAACCUUAAAAUGUUUGCAUUUCAGUACAAAUGUUGUUUGGUUCUUAGAUAAUGUAUAAAUGGCACUUGAUAAUCUCUGAAGGAAACUAUAGCAAUGGUGCUGUUUGUCUUUUAAAACCAUUCUUCCUGUUUCUGCAAUGAGUAAUGACGCUGUCUUUACUUAUUUGUGUACACGAAUUGAAAUGAGAGGGAAGCCAGAACUGAAACUCUAGACCUAAACCUCAAAUUAAUGUUUGGAUUAAUGGCUACGUUAACAGCCACCUCAAAACUUGGGUUCCAAAUUGUGGGCACCCACAUUUGAAAACAUUGUCACCGAGCUCAAAUCAGUCUAAUGGGCCUAAUCAAGAGAUGCCCACAUUUAGAAAGAUGGGAAUCUGCAUUUGAACCCUGUUUAGUGGAAUGUUUGGCUCCUGAAUUUUAUUUGGCCUUGUUAUAAAAUAUGUGAAAGUUAGAUUGGGCGUUCUUGUCAGAUCACUGUUUCAUUUUUGUAUUUAUUCAUCCAUGUAUAUAUUUACAUUGAUGCAUAGCUUAAUUGUUUAUAGUAGUCAUUAGCUUCUUUCCAUUUUACCAUUUUGUUUAAUGCUAAUUUACUAGGCAUAUUUAUGAUGGCAACUUUGUUGGAGAGUUUGCUACACUAAAAUAUUAAUUUCAAGUGUAUUCAUAAAUCAGUUGUCAUAAAUACAGACAUUAAAGUUUCUUUUG